GACGAACGCUGGCGGCGUGCCUAAUACAUGCAAGUUGAGUGCUGAAGGUUGGUACUUGUACCAACUGGAUGAGCAGCGAACGGGUGAGUAACGCGUGGGGAAUCUGCCUUUGAGCGGGGGACAACAUUUGGAAACGAAUGCUAAUACCGCAUAAAAACUUUAAACACAAGUUUUAAGUUUGAAAGAUGCAAUUGCAUCACUCAAAGAUGAUCCCGCGUUGUAUUAGCUAGUUGGUGAGGUAAAGGCUCACCAAGGCGAUGAUACAUAGCCGACCUGAGAGGGUGAUCGGCCACAUUGGGACUGAGACACGGCCCAAACUCCUACGGGAGGCAGCAGUAGGGAAUCUUCGGCAAUGGACGAAAGUCUGACCGAGCAACGCCGCGUGAGUGAAGAAGGUUUUCGGAUCGUAAAACUCUGUUGGUAGAGAAGAACGUUGGUGAGAGUGGAAAGCUCAUCAAGUGACGGUAACUACCCAGAAAGGGACGGCUAACUACGUG
rnacentral:rRNA from 1 species